UGUAGAGAUGGUCAGCUCAUGGGUUAGCAGGGGAGGCAGGAGGCAGUGUAUAGAUGGUCAGGUCAUGGUGGCAGGGGAGGCAGGAGGCAGUGUAGAGAUGGUCAGGUCAUGGUGGCAGGGGAGGCAGGAGGCAGUGUAGAGAUGGUCAGGUCAUGGUGGCAAGCGAGCUGGAAACAAGUGUAGAGAUGUUCAGGUCAUAGUGAUAGAGGAAGCUAGAAGCAGUGUGAAGAUGGUCAGGAUGGUUGCAGUGCAGUGUAAUAUAUUAUUAAUUAUUGACCGACAUUUGAAGUAGUGUAAAAUCAAUAUAUAUGUGAACGAUAUUUUGUUUUGUUUUAAUACGUGAACACUGGUGUGAGUCAUAAUAAGUUCAUCAGGAUGAAACUGGUGUUUAUUGGCCGUGGCUUGUUACGCACACGUACCUUUUUUACCGUACCAUUUUUAUUGCACGCCAAAGGCAUUCCCUGCUAAAGCAAAUGAUUUUUCAGUCCCCAAAAGAUGAAAAUCGUCCGAAUGUAGUUAACAACGAUGCUUUAGGUCGGUUAAUCAUAAUCGGUGGUGCAGUGAAACAACUGAUGCUGCUGCUUGCUGUGUAUCGUCUAUCAUUUAAUGAUUCGUCUUUAUUAUUUCACAAAGUCAUUCAGCAUCUUGUAUCAUACAGCUUUGUUUCAUUACUUGUAUGUGCACAUUAAGUCCUCUCCCACCCCACCCACCACGAAUGAUAACACUUCAGUAUUUUACUAGUUGCAUAAAGCAGUCAGGUUGCGCUUACAAAUGUAUUGGUGUAACUUCUCUAACUGCUAUGUGUACGAUGGGAAAGACACGUUGCGUAUGUAGUUGUUGGUGCGGACCAGAGUGGGGCGGGGAUGGGUAUCAGAGCAACACACACUGUAAAAUGUAUACAAAACUGCAACCAACGUAACAUUGCAGUGACGAAGUUAAACCCCCAGAUGCGCAAGUUCAAGAAAUGUAUUUAUUAAUAUUAUAUUAUAAAUCGUUUGUCGAGUGGUGUAUCUA